UGUUGUAUCCUGCCCCCAGGUCGCCUUACGUAUCGCGUGAGGGUGAAAUGGGAAGUCCGGUGAAAAUCCGGCGCUGGCCCGCAACCGUGAGAGGGGACGGCGGACACAGAUAAGCCACUGCCUGCAGCAGGUGGGAAGGCGUGUCCGGCCGGCAGAUCCUCAAGCCGGGAGACCAGCCUGAGGGGCGUAACCAAU
rnacentral:ncRNA from 2 species